rnacentral:lncRNA from 1 species
CAGGUGCAGCGCCGUCAAUGUUUAGAGGCGUCAUUCAAAAUUAGUCUAAAGUUUCUAGCGUGUUACGAAAUCUUUAUCGCCACCUAAGAAAUUCUUCCGAGAAAAUUUAUUUGAAUUACAGCAUGAUUUAUGAUCGAAUAUUAUAAAGUCUAGUGUCACGUGCUACCAGGUUCAAUACAGAGUGGUAUAUUUAUACUAUUACUAUCAGUGAAACAUGCAUAUUUUAAAUGGAAUCAGACAAUAGUUUGUUGCAUGGAUUUUUAAAUGUUUUUCAUGAGGAGUAGAGAUAGAUGGGCACAAAAGUAUAUUAUAAACAUGGAUGUGAACUCAUAGCAAGUACUGUGCUAAUUAUAUGGGAAGGCAUAGCUUAGCAUUUCCUAGAGAAAAAUCCUGAAGCUGUCAUUGAAGCAUUGUUCAAUGGAUAAAACCAGACCUCAAGAGAGAUUAUGGAGAGAGAGAACAGCCACAGAACGUGGAUUUAUUCUAAGAAUACUUCUCUGUCAACAAAUUUAAACUUUAUAUUCAUAAGAAAAUGGCAGUUUUAUCAAAAAGUAAAAGGAAAAGAAUAUUUGAGGAAGAAGAAAUGGAUCUGUUGGUGAAAUGUAGAAAAUUUAGUCUUACUUUAUUUUAUGAAAGAAAUAAAGUGAUAAGUAGGGUUAAGGAAGUGGCCCAGUACACCUAUGGCACAUCUCUGAGACAUGAAUGAUUUCUACAGGCAUGAAGUUGGAAGAUGGUGGCAGAACAUGAACAAAGAAAAUGUUUGUUUCUCGUAGGAUGACAGUUCAGUUGAGGCUAAAAUGAAAGAUGAAUGCAGUUACCUCAAACUAAGAUAAACCCACGUCUUUCCAAUGAAUAGAAAAAAAUUGAAACUUAGUGGGGGUUGUGCAGAAGAUAUGAAUUAAUUUCAUGAAACUGCCUAAAUUCACAGUUUGCACUUGAAGUAAAUUUGGUCAGAAACCUAUGUUUUGAGUCUGAAAUAAUUUUCAAUGUUACUUGAAGACACCAUUGAGGAAUUUGAAAUGAUUUUUGUAUUAAAACUACAUAUAUAUAAAAACUUGACUAAACUAUCAAUCCUUCAAACUAAGUCCACACAACUUCACUAAAUGAUAUGUUUUAGACAAUUACAUAAAAAGUGGUAAUUAUCCUGUUAUAUUUUAUUUAUUUUUUUACAUUUUUUUCAGCAAGUUCUCUAAAACUGAGGAACAAUUGUAUGUACUUCUUCAUCAGAUGAUAAAUCAUUAGAGUUAUAGUAUGUCAUGUAUUUAUUUUUUUUAGCUUGUAUACUUACAAAGCUAUAUUUGAUUACUAGGCCUACUUCAACUGUUUCUUAUGAGGAAGAAUAGGGUAUCUGAAUUUAAACUAGUUAGCAUUUCUUAAAGGCUUAAGUUUUUUUAUUUUUCAAUUGGGAUUAGUUUAGUAUCAUUGCAAGUGUAAGCAAGAUACAUAUAUGUAUAUAUUUCACUGAUUAGGCCAGACAUAACCUAGUAUUAAGAGUGCUGGAAUGUGAAUCUGAGGAUCCAUGGUUCAUGUCCCUUUGCUCAAAAAUCACUCCACAUUUUGGGACUGUGAGUGCAUUAUAAGAGUGAUGGUCAACUCCUACUAUUCAAUUAGAGUAGUCCAAAAGUUGUUGGUGAGUACUGUUGACUAGCUGCCUGCCCUCUAGUGUAUCACUUCAAAAUUAGGGUGACUAGUACAGAUAUCCAUUGUGUUGCUUUGCAUGACAAAAAACAACAACAAAUUUUACAAAUUCUGUGUAUCUUUAGGUAGGUGUAGUUACCAGUGAAGUAACAUGUCAAAUCAGGGGAAGCAUGCAUUUGAAGACUCUUGCUUAUACAAGUAGAACAUUGCCCAAUGGUAUCUAAAAUGGAACAGCUUUGAGGAAUUUUGCAACUUUGCUACAAAACUAUUUCAAUUGAAAACUAUGUCCAUAGACGUAUAAAAAUCCAAAAUUUGUUUGGGCAAGUCUCACCUAACCCUAACCACAGUAGAGACAACAGUAAAGAUCAGUGCCACAACCAGAAUGCACUAUCACAAUUUGCUCUUCCAGCCCCUGCAUACCAGAUCCGUGACUAGUCAGAUUAUUCCUCUUCAAGAAAACUUGACAACAGAAAUCAAAGAAGCAGAAAAUCUGUGGGCAAUGAAUGUUGCAGGCAAGGACUUUUCAUUUGCUAAAUGUGAUGAUGUUAGUCAACCUUUCCUUCAGAUAUUCAACUGUUCACUCACCAUCAGUUUUGGAAAAUGGGGAUUAACAAAGAUGUUGUAUGUUUUUUCAGAUAGCCUACGACCCCCUGCUAAAGAAACUGGUGAAUCCAGGAUAUACCAUAUUGCAUGAUAAAACCACCACUGAUCAAGAUGUAAAGCAUAUUGAUGGGCUUAUUAGAAACUGGUCAAAAAUCCAAAAUCAGAUUCCAGGGGAUACCUUGGGGCUUUCUAUUUGGUAGUAUCAAAAGAAAGUAUGCAUAAAAAAUCAUGCAUUUCCUAAAAACAGAAAUAGCUAUUCCUCCGAGGCUUUUUAUAAGGUUAUUAAGUGAUUUGGAAUGAGAUCAAUGAUGUCUCGAAGGAAGCUGACUGUGAAGGUCUUCUUUACUUCAUUCCCAGCAACCUUCGUGCCAUACAUAAUGCAUUCAGAGCUAGCCUAGAUGUAUCCAGAAAACCUUAUCUACAAUCUAUAUAGGCUUUUCAAAAAGAUGCCUUGCAAAAUAGAAGAUUUCCAAUAAGUGAACUUGAGACAUGUGAAUAGCAUGUAGAUGACCCUAGUACUAGCACUGGAUUGUAUCAAUGAUAAAUGGUAUGCCACAAAUAAAUAUUUCCUAAUACCACUCAGAAUAGGCCAGGAAGGACAAGACAGAAUAACAAUUUUCAAAAAAUGAAAAGUAACAGAACAUACACCAAUUACUUGCCUCUAUAAAAAUUCUACCAGCACUCUUCUGCUGUGUUCGUGAGAACAGAAAUAAGAGGUUACCAUGUGAAAAUAUAACACAAUAUCUUCUGUAUACUUCUGUAUUUUGUUGUCUUUUGUAGUUAAUGUGACUUUUAUUUGCCCUAAUUUUUAAACAGUUGCCUCAUAUUAUCCAUAUAUUUUUCACUAGAUUUCCUUAUUUUAUGCCCAGAAUCUGCAAUCACUUCUGAAUCCUAAUCUGAUUUUCCUAAAGAAAUAAUCAUUAUACAAUUAGGGUGGACUUUUCAGCUGAGAAUAAAAAUGUUUUAUAAAAUA